CCAAUCGUAAGGCUUCAUCUGUGGCUUUAAAAUGACCCGUUCUCUCUUCCUGUUUUCUUCCUUUUUCCAAGGUACGUAUUUUGAGAUAACAAGGGAGUAAAGGAGGGAAAAAAUUGAGCUCUGGGGGGCAGCAUGAGCCAAUUAUAAUGGUGCCACUAUAAACAGUUGCCUGCGCCAUGACGGGCUCGGGGCCGACCAUCAGGUCCAGAUGGAUAGUCUACCGGCGCCAUAGCCCACAUGAAAAAAAUAAAUAAAUAAAUAAAUAAAAUAAAUAAAAAAAUCCAGGGGUCGGAACAGAUAAGCGCUUUUUCAGUGUUUUCAAUACCUCGAGUUUCGCGAUCCUCGAGUUUAGCGCUAUACCUUCGGAACGAAGCGAGCACGAAACUAGAGAGGGUACUGUAUACAUAUUUUGUUAUGGUUAUUGACAUUGACUUUUUUAUUUAAUUAAAAAAGUGUAUUAUUUUUAUGCAAUAAUAUCUCCAUCGUUUAAAAAGAAAAUGCAUUAUAUUAUAACCCAGAGACUUAAAAAGUCGACAUUCAUUUUAGCCCAGCGGUUGCUGUAAACACUAGAACUGGGGCCUGGCGGGCGGGAACAAGUCUUAGACAACGAGAUUAUAGUUUGCGUAUUUUCCACCUAUAUUAAGCUACUGUGACAGCAAGUCAAAGGAUGUGGAAGAGAGCAGUGUGGCUGGAGAGCAAAAAAGAAGAGGAGUGUGUGGUACCAUCUGCCUGGAUAGUUGAAAGCAGCCAGAUUUUAUAUUGGCCAUCAAAAGUUGAUGCUCACAAUGCCUUAACUAGUCGAGAAGACCCAGUGCCCGUAUCAUGGAGAAAAUUUCCAUUGCUAAAGUAAAAAUAGCUUCUGACAGUUACGAGGAAUGUGAGCAGCACCAGCUGACAUCAGCAGUAGACAGUGACAGAAGCAGCAGUGACCUGGAUGGGGAAGACGGUUUGACCUUGCAUGGUAGGAGGAAAUGUAUGAAGAAAGCUCUGCCAAAGGACUUUAUUAGUAGUCAGGACUUGGAUU